rnacentral:rRNA from 1 species
GACGAACGCUGGCGGCGUGCUUAACACAUGCAAGUCGAACGGAAAGGCCCUGCUUUUGUUGGGUGCUCGAUUGGCGAACGGGUGAGUAACACGUGAGUAACCUGCCCUUGUCUUUGGGAUAACUUCAGGAAACUGGGGCUAAUACCGGAUAUGAUCUCCUGCUGCACGUUGUUGGUUGGAAAGUUUCGGCUGUUGGGGAUGGACUCGCUGGUUAUCAGCUGGAUUGUGUGGUAGUUGCUUACCAAGGCUUUGACGGGUAGCCGGCCUGAGAGGGUGACCGGCCACAUGGGGCCUGCGGUACGCAGCAGACUCGUACCGGAGGCAGCAGUCGGGAGCCUGGCGCAGUGAGCGGACGUCUGAUGCAGCGGCGCUCCGUGCGGGAUGCCGGCUUUCGGGUUGAGAACAGCUUUCGCCUGUACUGAACAGUGAGUGACGGUAAUGGGUAAGAAAGCAACGGCUAACUACGUG